GAUCCAACUGCUCGAGGAGAGAGCGGACUUGCAUCACCACGAAAACACUGAGCACAGACCAGCCUUCGAAGGCAAAGCGAAGUGAUCUUUUGGCUAAAACCUUGGUAUUUCUUGCUGAGUCCACCUGACUGAUGCCAUCGCUGAAAGACAAACAAGAACACAUGGAGAAUGUGACUUUCAGGGAAUGAAUGAGAAGAAAAGGAGGUCCAGGAGGUUAGAGAGCAUGCCCAGGGUUCCGCAACUGGUGAGGAGUGGCAAUGGGAUCUAACCCAGGCAUUCUGACUCUGGUGCCCAAGGAGGAAAAACAGGAGUUGGAAAGAAAGCAGGGAUAUUCUAUCCAGUUGAUGAAGAGGGUGGCUAAGAAGAGAAUUUUGACCAGAAGCCAAUAAUGCUAUAACCAUACCCAGACAGCAAAGGCCCACAAUGCCCAGCCAAGAAUAGAAGAAUUAAAGGCGAGGAAAAAGGAUGUAAUUGAUGAUGAAGAUGUUGGUGAUGAUAAGGAUAAUGAUGAUGAUGACCUAGUGAUAAUGACGAUGAUGAUGAUAAUUAAGAUGACAACGACGAUGAUGACGACUGACACUUAACAGUUGUUGGACUGGAAAUGCUAACAUCCUGAAACUCUUGGGACCUCCACACACAACGAAGAAUUGUCCAGGCCAGCAUGCUCUGAGCGUUCCCACUGAGGAAGAAUAAAAGAAGUUCUCAUAGUGGGGAACAUAAAAAACUUCUUUGUGCAUUUUUCUGAACAUUAAUCAAUAAUCCAUUAACUCAGGGAAGCUGAAUGCUCUUCACACAGAAUCCAAAACAAAUUGACAGAUAUCCUCUGGCAAGAACUCUGGAGAGGCUGUGUGGCCUUGGACAAGGCGUUUCAUUUCCUUAGGCCUCAGUUUCUCCAUCUUUAUAGCACUAACAUUCUAUA